rnacentral:rRNA from 1 species
GUGGGGAAUAUUGGACAAUGGGCGAAAGCCUGAUCCAGCCAUGCCGCGUGUGUGAAGAAGGUCUUCGGAUUGUAAAGCACUUUAAGUUGGGAGGAAGGGCAGUAAGUUAAUACCUUGCUGUUUUGACGUUACCAACAGAAUAAGCACCGGCUAACUUCGUGCCAGCAGCCGCGGUAAUACGAAGGGUGCAAGCGUUAAUCGGAAUUACUGGGCGUAAAGCGCGCGUAGGUGGUUCAGCAAGUUGGAGGUGAAAUCCCCGGGCUCAACCUGGGAACUGCCACCAAAACUACUGAGCUAGAGUACGGUAGAGGGUAGUGGAAUUUCCUGUGUAGCGGUGAAAUGCGUAGAUAUAGGAAGGAACACCAGUGGCGAAGGCGACUACCUGGACUGAUACUGACACUGAGGUGCGAAAGCGUGGGGAGCAAACAGGAUUAGAAACCCGUGUAGUCC